UACGUAGGGUGCGAGCGUUAAUCGGAAUUACUGGGCGUAAAGCGUGCGCAGGCGGUGAUGUAAGACAGAUGUGAAAUCCCCGGGCUCAACCUGGGAAUUGCAUUCGAGACUGAAUAGCUAGGGUACGGUAGAGGGAAGCGGAAUUUCCGGUGUAGCGGUGAAAUGCGUAGAUAUCGGAAGGAACAUCAGUGGCGAAAGCGGCUUCCUGGACCAGUACCGACGUUCAGGCACGAAAGCGUGGGGAGCAAACAGG
rnacentral:rRNA from 1 species